AGAUUUCUGUCUCGUUGGUGACCAGCGGAGGGUCAUUACCGAGUUUACAACUCCCAAACCCAAUGUGAACCAUACCAAACUGUUGCCUCGGCGGGGUCACGCCCCGGGUGCGUCGCAGCCCCGGAACCAGGCGCCCGCCGGAGGGACCAACCAAACUCUUUUCUGUAGUCCCCUCGCGGACGUUAUUUCUUACAGCUCUGAGCAAAAAUUCAAAAUGAAUCAAAACUUUCAACAACGGAUCUCUUGGUUCUGGCAUCGAUGAAGAACGCAGCGAAAUGCGAUAAGUAAUGUGAAUUGCAGAAUUCAGUGAAUCAUCGAAUCUUUGAACGCACAUUGCGCCCGCCAGUAUUCUGGCGGGCAUGCCUGUCCGAGCGUCAUUUCAACCCUCGAACCCCUCCGGGGGGUCGGCGUUGGGGACCUCGGGAGCCCCUAAGACGGGAUCCCGGCCCCGAAAUACAGUGGCGGUCUCGCCGCAGCCUCUCCUGCGCAGUAGUUUGCACAACUCGCACCGGGAGCGCGGCGCGUCCACGUCCGUAAAACACCCAACUUCUGAAAUGUUGACCUCGGAUCAGGUAGGAAUACCCGCUGAACUUAAGCAUAUCAAUAAGCCGGAGGA
rnacentral:rRNA from 1 species